rnacentral:rRNA from 1 species
GAUUUCUGGCGUGGUGCCUUCCGUCCGCCGCUGUCAAGCGUCCGAGUACGGGAGUUUUGUGCCUGCCAUCCUUCUAGGGAGCGCGUCUGCCCUUUACUGGGUCGGGCGCGCGACCUGGAUCGUUUACUUUGAAAAAAUUAGAGUGUUUAAAGCAGGCGAUUGCCUCUGAAUACAUUAGCAUGGAAUAAUAAUCUAGGACUUCGGUUCUAUUUUGUUGGUUUCUAUAACUGAAGUAAUGAUUGAUAGGGAUAGUUGGGGGUGCUAGUAUUGGCCGGUCAGAGGUGAAAUUCUUGGAUUCGGUCAAGACUAACUUAUGCGAAAGCAUU